AGCCUUUGCGUUAGUUUAACGUCCGUAACUGCAAAUUGCCCAGCAAAAUUGAGGCUUUCAGUGACAUAGGAUGCAGUGGGGAAUUUGUACCUCUAAACCAAGUGAAACUUCCUCCAUGCAUGCUGAAACUGUAAUGAGCCAAGAUGGUGGGGAAAAGAACAAAGGUCCCUUUUUCUCUGGUCUUUUUUCCCUUUAUCCUUGCAAAAAGUGCUUCGAGAACGAGUCCAGUCCAUGCAAAUCAACGCCCGUAUAUGAAUCUCUGAGGAGGAUGCUUCUGAACUGGCCCUUCCGUUCUUCUCUGCUUUUUUCGUUUUUGUUGUUGAGGUGGUCAUUGGAUUAUUCUACAAGACAUAUAUUUAAGCAACCAAAUUAGUCCACCACAAAUUAGAAAUUCUGCAUGACUUGUGUUUAAGCAAUCAAACUAGCGGCCAGCAGGGUUUGGUUUAGUGAUUGAGAUUGAGAUUCCAGGAUUUAGAUAUAUCUUGAGUUCUAAUCCCCUUUCCCUUGGCUUCAUCUUAAAUUUCACUCAUCCCCUACCGAUUUUUUUUUUUUUUUUGUUUUAAAUCAAUCGAACUUUGUUGCUUUUAGCAUAGCAUAUAGUCCAAUUGAAACUUGGGAUGAUUUUGUAUGGUUGGACCUUCAGAUAUCCACCAUGUGAGAAGCUUUUGGUACACGUCUGGCCUGGUCUCCUCUCAGCAGAUAGCUGCCUUCUUUGUUGCCAAGACUAGACCUUAGAGCGGCAGCAACCGGCAGCCUUACCUCAUAUGGUACAACGCAUAAUAAUUGUGCAUAUAUUUAUCCGCCGGACUGGUCCACCUCUUUGUCUUCGAGUGCUAAGACCUAUCAGAAAUACUUCGCCUGCACAAGAAGUUGUUUGUUUCAUAUUAUACGCACGAAAUACUUGAUGAUAUAACAAAUCUUGUAGCAUGGAAAGCUAUACAGAAGAUACCACUCUCUUUUACCGGCUUGAGCAGAAGGCCGGUUACCAGUGUUCAUCCUUUUGUUGAAUUUUGCAUGAUCAAUGGUAAUUACCAACCCCUCGUAAUUAAGAAAACAUAGCCAAGACUCUUUAGUACCUGGAGACCUCGAAGGGAAAGGCCAUGAAAACACUUUUGAUGUGACUUUUAUUGAUGUGCUAUGUGACAUUGACUGAAGGACGCGGUUCUCCAUAUAUAAUGAAUGGUGCUGGUUGCUACUAACUUAUUAUUGUCCAGAAGCCAAAAAGAAAAAGAUUCCAAUCGUAUUGCAUUCCAUCCCUCAACCUCAAGCGUGUCUGGACAAUUUUCGCGAGUUUUCUGCAGAAAGUGGCUGAAAUCUCCCUCAGGUAAUAAACUAGAUCUUUCCUCAAUCCGUCGAGUUAGAUUUGGAGCAAACGCUUGUAGCCUAUCAUUAUAAUGGGUUGAGGUCCGCAAAACAGGUCCAUUUAAACUGUGAUUUUGUGUUUUUUCAGUCAGAAAUUUCACUCCGACCAAUUUCCAAUUCUCUUACUAAACCAAAACAAAUAAGCAGGCUAAAGCCGUUCGCCCGGUUUUAAAUUUAGAAACAGCAUGAAGGAACACGAAGGUAAACCAAAACUAUACGUGUCUUCUACAUUCUACAAUAACACACAAAUUUUCAGGGAUGGGCACGAAGGUCAAGAAUUACUCUAAUGAAUCACUAAAAAGUGCACAAGCAAGAAUGGUAUAGACAACAGGACUUAGCUAACACGAAGGAACAGACGAAAAACCACAGGAUACUUGAACAGUCAUAUAGGGCAAAUAUUCAUCUGUAAGAAGGUACUGCUUCCAAAGAAUCUGAGAGGGAAAAGGGAAACGUAGUCCUAAACCUUCAAAAAUUCAUUCAGGAAGAGAUUGUUCAUUCAAAAAUUCAUUCAUGUUAGUCCUUUUAGCCUUCCCUGGAGUAGUUUAUAAAUGCAACCCAAAAGAAGCUUAUAAGGAUGUAGAAAUUGUUCCUAAAAGAUGAGUAGACCACAUAUUAAGCAAUUUGAAAUGUGGCCUUUGAUAAAAUUUCUGUUCUAUUGCUUCUAUGUAUCAGAAAUGUAGUCGGUGCUCCCCUAGUGCAGAAACAUAGACAUUCUGAAGCACACUCCAAAUCCAAGGUUGGGCAAAAUUGUCAGUGGAAUUCUCUCCAUCAUGCUUCAAUUUGAUCCAACAGGGAUCAUCUUUAUAGCAGCGGCUAUUGGCAUUCCAAGAAAUCCCAAGCACACACUUGCAAACCACUGCUGCCAAGUAAGAGGGGAAGUGUUUGCAAAAGUACCAAGAAAUUCAACAAUUAUAAUUUGGAAGAGGACCGUGCAGCUGAUCACAGCUACAAAAACAUAGUUCUUCAGUAUGCCUUUGAAGACAUUUAUGUUCUCCAUUUCUCUGGAGCUAAUCUCAUUGAAAACCUGCAAGAAAAAGUAAUGAUCGAUUUGAAUUAAUAACACAAGAAGUUUUAAACAGAAUCCCACCACAGACUAAUCAUGAUCAUCAGGAUGUAUUCUGCCAAACAAUGAGCUAUUUUAGUUGCUACCAUUAGGUAGAUUUAUGUGGACAGCAACGCUCAUCUUUCUUUAAACCAAAAUCAGGAGAUAGAGUCAGCAAGAAAUAAAAAUCAACUUGCACUACCUACCUGCUGGAUGACAUACCAUGCUGCUUUAACAAUUAUUACUCUCUCUUGUUUUGGGGGAGGGGGGUGGGGGGAGUGAUGAGAGUGAGAGCGAGGGAAAAACCUUCUAUCAAUUCAGUGUUCCUUGAAAAAUAGUCAUGAACUUGAAUUAAUGAAAGCUUAGUGGUUUAACCACAUUCAAUUCCACUAUUUGCUAAAAUGGUUAUCGUUCUAGUCAUGCUCCAGAAUUCUAAAGCAACAGGGACGAAGUCCCUGCAUAUCAUCCUAUACUUGAAUAAGCCCUUGAGCAUACCUGGCAAAAGACAAAUGAGUUGAAUAUGAGGGUAUUCAGAAUCAAAUCAGAAUCAGAGCCAUCAAGAUGGAAAACUGAUUUCCCUGAUGUCUGAAGAUACCAUAUGAUCACGAACUGAUAUAUUGAUUGCCCCAAGAUAUUCCUCCACAUGACAUUGCUAAUAAAGUUUCCUUUCCUUCCUACGGGAGGUCGCUUCAUCAAGUCACCAUUUGGAGGCUCUGUGGCUAGAGCAAGUGCUCCUAGUGUAUCCAUGAUCAUGUUGACCCAUAGAAGCUGGACAGCUGUGAGAGGAGCAUUGCCUGAUACCAUACCACAAUGCCACCACACAAAAGUAGAACAAAAAAAAGUUCAACACAAGGAUUACAUGAUCUUCUAUAAGAGGAAUCUCAGGUGGAGAUGGAUAAAAACGUCUACCUGUCAAACAGGCUGAAGAAAAGUUGACAAUUAGGGCAACCACAUUUACAGUCAACUGAAACUGCACAAACUUCUGAAUGUUUACGUAAACCGAACGUCCCCAUUUGGCAACAGUCACAAUUGUGGAGAAAUUAUCAUCGAGAAUGAUGACAUCAGCGCUCUCUUUAGCUACCUGGAAUUUUUGAAUCAGCACAGUGACGUGUCAAAAAGAUUGCCCGCCUAACCUAUCUCACAAUGCCAAAGGUAGAUACAAAAGCAGACUAACUGGAACUGCCACUAGAUUGAUCGAGGAUGAUUUAUAUGUUUCAUUUUUGAAUAAUCACAUUUUACUAAGUUAAGGUGGGACAAAUUUUAAGUGAAUAAAUCUAGUUGCAGCAAAAGUGAGGCUGAAUAUUGCAAUAGAAGUUCUUCCCCAACACCCCCCCCCCCCCAAAAAAUUUUUUUAUUGCAAUUGAAGCUUCAAAAGACAGAACAAGACAAUAAACCUUAUGUUAAAAAAUCAAAAUACAAGGCUAGUUGAACUCCAAGAGUAAAAUUGAUGGGACAGAAAAAAUCAUGACAAAAGUUCAAGAAUGUAUUACCUAAGAAUAAAAUCAAAGUUCUCCACAUAAUACCCAGGAAUAAACUGCUUGACUUUGGAUUAUUGAGCAUUCGAUAAACAGAACGUAUGCCAUAUCACUGUCCUUUCUAAAAGAAUGUCCAUUACUAGUUUACAGAAAAUUCUAAAUUAGCACUUGAGAUAAAUCAGUAAUGUAGUUCUAGAAAUUGUCUUCAAAAAGAAUCGAACAAGCUGCACGUAGCUGCUGGAGAAAAACAUUUCAGGCAUUAAGCAUCACCUCAGUUCCAGAUAUGCCCAUUGCCAGCCCUAUAUCUGCUUCAUGAAGUGCAGGAGCAUCAUUUGUACCAUCUCCAGUCACAGCAACAACAUCUUGAAAUGUGGUGCGCAAAUGUCUCACAAGGGUGUGCUUAUCCAUUGGUGAAGAACGAGCCAUGACCUGUCAAUAGACAUGAAUCUGAUAUAGUUCCCUAAGGCAGCAGUGCAUGAAGCCAAUUAUAGUUGUCAAUGAAAGCAAACAGCUAGUCGCAGAUGAUGGAGUUUUUCAUUAUUGCAAGGUAGAGAUGGGAGGUUUUCAUUACUAAUAGGAUUUAACACCCCACUAAAUUGCCAAUCUUAGCCUAGCUAAUGGAAGCAACAAAGAUUCUAGCACACAACUUCUGCAAAUCCAGGUAGACAAUUUCUCUUAAAAACUAACUUGAUUUCUUACUAUUGAUCAUAAAAGUUCUAUUGUGGAUGCCGAGGGCCAUUAACGUGACUGCAUCAAUAUUAGGUGACGGAACAAGAGGACUAAAUUACAACAAAAAAGCACCUGUAAUUUAGGGAUGAUUUCUUGCAACUCUUCCUCACUCUUCAAUCGAAAGUCGGGGCCUUCAAUUGCUAUGCCCUCGUCAGUCAAAAUCCCACAAUCUCUAGCAAUUGCCUUGGCAGUAUUUAUGUUGUCGCCUGUGACCAUCCGCACAGUAAUCCCAGCUGACCUACAAGUUGCAACAGACUCCUUAACACCAGGACGUACAGGAUCUUUAAUACCUAUAAUUCCAAUACAAGUAUAGCCCUCAAAAGGGAUUGGGUUUUCAGCCGAAACUUCACUUCCAAUUUCCUUGUAAGCAAGGCAUAAGGUUCGAAGAGCCUCAGAAGCAAAUUGUUCAAUUGUAUCUUUGAGAUGACUAAUGGAUGCUUCAUCUAGGGGAACAAGCUCUCCUUCUUUGUUCAGGACCUUGUCACAUGCAGCCAAUAUUAUUUCAGAUGCACCUUUACAGUGUGCCCUGAAAUCUCCUUCCUGAAGCUCCAAUACCACACCCAUACGCUUCUUCACAGAGUUAAAUGGUUCAACUUUCACAAGUUUAGAUGCUUGUCUCUCAGCCUGAAAAUCCCCACCAAGUGAAAGACCGAAUUCCAAGAGCGCAGUUUCAGUGGGUGUUCCCAAUAUUUCUAUUUUUCCCCCUUCACACUUUACUACAUCUCCUCCAGUAUUGAAAAAGAUAGAUUGAAGCAGAAUUCGGACAACAGAAUCAGGAAUUCCAGAGCAGAUAUUAGAAGGCUCCAGAGAGCUAAACACUGUACCACAAAUGCAAGUUUUUACAACAGUCAUAUGGUUAGUAGUUAGCGUACCAGUCUUGUCACUACAAAUAGUUGUGGCAGAUCCCAUAGUCUCACAAGCAGCCAAAUGACGAACUAGUGCUUUAUCAUUCAUCAUCUUCUUCAUGGCAAAUGCUAGGCUUAGUGUGACAGCUAAAGGUAAACCCUCAGGAACAGCAACCACAACAAUUGUAACUGCAAUAGCAAAAUAUUCAAGCAUUUCCACGGCAUCAUCCCCAGCCCAGCUCCAGUGUGACCCUUCUCUUAAUUUGCGGCUAAACAGUCCUUGCACCAGGACAGAAAACGUGAUAACAGCAAAAAAUAAUCCUAUUUUUCCAAUAACGGUUGCUACUCCAUUCAACUUCACUUGCAGUGGUGUCUCAUCAUCUCCUCCUUCACUGAGGGUGGCCAUCAAUUUACCCCACUGAGUUCUCAUUCCAACAGUAGUAACAAGCAUUUUGCAGGAUCCAUCUUGCACCUUAGUUCCAGAGAGGAGAAAAGGAUUUUCAGCAGUAACAUUAAUUGGUUCACUCUCUCCUGUUAGGCUCGAUUCGUCUAUCAACAAAGAGUAUCCUGAAAGAAACAGUCCAUCUGCUGGGACCUGAUCACCUAUAGAUAGGUGAACAAUAUCACCAGGAAGUAAAUCAUAUAUAGAAAUCUUCUGCCUGUAUCCAUUUCUAGUAACAUGAACAGUUAUCUUUUUCUUUUCCUUAUCCAAAUCCUUAAAUUGUAACGACUGUUUAUAAUCACUAGUUGCUGUCACGAAAACUACUAGCAGGAUACUGGCAACAAUUCCAA
rnacentral:lncRNA from 1 species